GAAACUCCCAAUAAUGAGGAAAUUGGAAUGAAAUUAUCCCAACAGUCGUCCUUAAAUAGUUUCUGUAGUUCCAUAUCAAAUUCCAGUGAAUUGAAGCGAACUUGUUCAGACUUUGAAGAUACAAUGCCAGCGCCUAAGAAAAAUAAAAUUGAUAUUCUGACUUCGGAAUUAGUAUUAGCACUAGAUAGAACUAAAACUAGUAACAGAAAUGCGAUGUACAUCAUUUCAGCUGUUAUUCAAAGUUUAGGACUUGAGAUUGAUAAAUAUAAUUCAAGUUACUCCACUAUUCGCAAUGCGCGUAUUUCAAAAAGAGAAGAAAUUGUCGAUACGAUCAAAGAAGAAGAAAUUUUUGAUGACUCUCUCGUAGUGCACUGGGAUGGAAAAAUGCUUCCUGCGGGAAAUGGUCAACCAAAAGCAGAACGAUUAUCAAUACACGUCACCGGAAUAAAUACUGAUAAAAAUUUAAAAACUCCGAUUCUCUCUGAUGGCACAGGUGAAAGCCAAACUUCAGCCAUUUUUGAAACGCUGAUAGAUGUUAUGUCCACCCGCAAAUUUUUUUUCUCUCUUCUCUUUCUUUAAAUUUAAAUCGUCCGCGCAGAUGAAAGACUUCUCCAUGCGCGAAAGCCACAAUAAAAUAGAAGCUACGCGACUGUUGGUUAACUAGCGGGGACUUCUGCAACCUCAGCACCGCGAGUAUUUAAAAAGGCGAUCAACAGCCAACGCCUUGUCUUAUUGGUUAAUUCGACUUCCGCGUUUAACUGACGGGCCCGUGCCUUGUAGAGUCCUUUGCUUUAAUUUGCACUGCACUUAGAGGAAGUUUGGACGCGGUUUAACCGGCAGGCCACGUAUUAGUUUUAAUCUUAGAGAGUCGUAUUCUCAAAGUUCUAAUUUGCUCUGCACUUAGGCGAGAAUUCGGUCAUUAAGUCUAUUCAAAAUUUCCUAAAAGCUAGUUUUGCCCCCCUUACCCUACGGGGGACUGGAGGACGUUAGCUCAACCAAAUCAAUAAAAUUCAUUAAAAUAAAUUACGUUAAAAUUAAAAUUGUGAAAGUGUAAGUUUUGUGGUUAUAAAAAUAAAUAUCAAAAGAAGUGAAAUCAGUUUCGAGUUAAUUCAUUUCUUAAAAAUAAGAAGCCCUUAAAGUAAGC